UACGGAGGGUGCGAGCGUUAAUCGGAAUUACUGGGCGUAAAGCGCAUGCAGGUGGAUUAGUAAGUUGAGUGUGAAAGCCCCGGGCUUAACCUGGGAACUGCAUUCAAAACUACUAGUCUAGAGUACAGGAGAGGGAAGUGGAAUUUCCGGUGUAGCGGUGAAAUGCGUAGAUAUCGGAAGGAACACCAGUGGCGAAGGCGACUUCCUGGACUGAUACUGACACUCAGAUGCGAAAGCGUGGGGAGCAAACAGG
rnacentral:rRNA from 1 species